CAAUCUCUCAUCGAAUUUUAACUUUCUUUUUGGAAUUUGAAUUCUUAAGUUUAGUUGAGUUUCGGAUUCGUUUUCCGAAUUCUACGGUUGUCUACGGGGUUUGGGUUUAUUUUACGUUUUUGUGGGUGUUAGUUGGGGAUAGACUUCUCGGUUUUAGAGUUCACUCAGGGUAAUAGUUGGAUGGAGUUUUGAACGAAAUGAGCGGCAACUUAUCUGAAGAUUGUCCAUUGGGGUGUAAUAGUAGGUGGAUUGGCAUUUGAAUGAAAUUGGUGCCUGAUUACUUGAAGUGUGCAGCUGUGCUCUUGGAAAUUUUGUCAUUUCGUUGUUUUGUUUUUGCCUUGGAGGGGUUAUGGAUCCUUAGGUGGUAUCAACAGAAUCUCACGAAAGUCUUGGAGAUGCAUUCUUUAAAGGAUUGAUGGAGCGUUGAAUGCUGAGUUUACUACUUGUGUUUUUUGUGUAUUGUAAACUGUCGGGAAAUGAUUUGGGAGACACUAUCUCGUGCAUCCUAACUUUAUUUCAAGGAGCUAAUUUUAAAUGUGGAAGUGAGUCUCUCUUUUUUGGAUAGAAAGGAAAAAAAACCCCAUUAUUUUUCAACUCUCGUGCGUGUUGAUGGAUUCUGCUGUUCAGAUAUAUUACAAAUUAGAAUGAAAUUCAAGUGGCUGAUGUUUUGUUUUCUUUAUUUACGCUAUGCGGCUAUGCCAUUGUCAUUUGAUUUCCUCAAUUUUUUCCGUAAGAUUUCCCCAUAUUUUGUCGUUGAGCUUCAUCUAAUAUGAGUUCUCGAUCAUGCUAGUUCCAUGUUAA